rnacentral:rRNA from 1 species
GACGAACGCUGGCGGCGUGCUUAACACAUGCAAGUCGAGCGGUAAGGCCCUUUUGGGGGUACACGAGCGGCGAACGGGUGAGUAACACGUGGGUGACCUGCCUUCAGCUUCGGGAUAAGCUUGGGAAACUGGGUCUAAUACCGGAUAUGACUUGGCCUCGCAUGGGGUUGGGUGGAAAGUUUUUUCGGCUGGAGAUGGCCGCGGCCUAUCAGCUUGUUGGUGGGUGAUGGCCUACCAAGGCGACGACGGGUAGCCGGCCUGAGAGGGCGACCGGCCACACUGGGACUGAGAUACGGCCCAGACUCCUACGGGAGGCAGCAGUGGGGAAUCUUGCGCAAUGGGCGGAAGCCUGACGCAGCGACGCCGCGUGGGGAUGACGG